GAUGAACGCUGGCGGCGUGCCUAAUACAUGCAAGUCGAGCGGACACACGAGGAGCUUUCUCCUCUGACGUUAGCGGCGGACGGGUGAGUAACACGUGGGUAACCUACCUAUAAGACUGGGAGAACUUCGGGAAACCGGGUCUAAUACCGGAUAAUAGAUUUAACCGCAUGGUUCAAUAGUGAAAGACGGUUUUGCUGUCACUGAUAGAUGGAUCCGCGCCGCAUUAGCUAGUUGGUAAGGUAACGGCUUACCAAGGCAACGAUGCGUAGCCGACCUGAGAGGGUAGUAAGCCACACUGGAACUGAGCCAAGGUACAGACCAGUACGGGAGGCAGGAGAAGAGAAUCUAACGCAAGGGGCGAAAGCUUAACGGGGAACAGCCGCGUGGGGGAUAAAGGGCUUCGGAUCGUAAAACUAUGUUAUUAGGGAGGAAAAAAUAUGUAAGUAACGAUGCACGUCUUGAAGGUACCUAAUCAGAAAGCCCCGGCUAACUCCGUG
rnacentral:rRNA from 1 species